AUGAUUGAUCUCUGUAAUUCAAUGGAAAGCAGCGGUAUUGUAGCCGACUGCUAUGUUUUCAACAUAUUAAUUGAUGCAUAUGCUAAACAUGGGAUGAUGGAUGAAGCUAUGCUCAUAUUUACAGAAAUGUGGGAAAAAGGAGUAAGUCCCGACGUAGUCACCUAUUCCACUAUAAUAGCCGCACUUUCUAGAAUGGCUAGAUUGACUGAUGCCAUGGGCAAGUUCAGUCAGAUGAUUGCCACGGGAGUUCAAUCCAACACAGCUGUUUAUCACUCCCUAAUUAGGGGUUUAUGUUUAAAUGGUGAUCUGGUUAAAGUCAAGGAGCUGGUUUCUGAAAUGAUGAACAAAGGUAUGCCUCGUCCUAGCAUUGUCUUCUUCAGCUCAAUAAUAAAUAGUUUAUGCAAAGAUGGAAGGUUAUGGAUGCACAUGCUAUUUUUGACUUGGUUA
rnacentral:rRNA from 1 species